GAAAUGCGAUAAGUAAUGUGAAUUGCAGAAUUCAGUGAAUCAUUGAAUCUUUGAACACACAUUGCGCCCGCCAGUAUUCUGGCGGGCAUGCCUGUUCGAGCGUCAUUUCAACCAUCAAGCCCCCGGCUUGUGUUGGGGACCUGCGGCUGCCCGCAGGCCCUGAAAAACAGUGGCGGGCUCGCUGUCACACCGAGCGUAGUAGCAUACAUUCUCGCUCAGGGCGUGCUGCGGGUUCCGGCCGUUAAACGACCUUCAUAACCCAAGGUUGACCUCGGAUCAGGUAGGAAGACCCGCUGAACUUAAGC
rnacentral:misc_RNA from 1 species